AAUAAGCAUGUUAUGUAGAGAUGUAGAAGAAAACUCUGAAAGAAUCAGCUAAAAAACGAUUCCUGCUGUCACCAUGGACAACAGAAAGAUGAACACAUGUGCACACACACAGACACAUGGUAGAAUAUGUGACAUUAACGCCUUCACCAGUCCUCAGAAACAAGUCCUCUAGCUGCCCAAGGGGACACCAUCUGGCCGCACCUAGCCCUUCCAGCCUUCGUACAGACCCCCCAGGGCCACACAUUCGUCUGUGCUGCCGCCUCUACUCAGACUCCUGCCUCUGCCACUUGGUUGCUAAAGAGUGUUUCAAACAAAUUCAUUUCCAGAUUUAUUCUUCCCAGGCAACUAGUAUACAAUUUAAUGGGAACAGUUGAACAGCAAGCUAACCAAAAGUGGUAGAUCUUAAAGAUGAAAAUCUCCUGCACUAUUUCAGACAGGUCAAUAAUGAGGAUGUUAAUAUAGAUGUGACAUUAGUCCCCCUGGAAGGUCACUGGAAACCUGUUCCCUUGCUAUACACAUGGCUAAUUAUCCUCUAUGAUCCUCUGACCAGUUGUUCUGUUUACUGUUAUG